rnacentral:rRNA from 1 species
AAAUGAAUUGACGGGGACCCGCACAAGCGGUGGAGCGUGUUCUUUAAUUCGAUGUUAAGCGAAGAACCUUACCAGGGCUUGACAUCCCGAGAAAUUCUGGGAAACUAGAAUGUGCCUUUUGGAACUCGGUGACAGGUGUUGCAUGGCCGUCGUCAGCUCGUGUCGUGAGAUGUUUGGUUAAGUCCAUCAACGAGCGCAACCCUUAUGAUUAGUUGUAUUUUUCUAAUCAGACUGCCUCGGUAACGGGGAGGAAGGAGGGGAUGAUGUCAGGUCAUUAUUACCCUUACGUCCUGGGCUAGAAACGCGCUACAAUGGCUGGUACAAAGGGCUGCCAACCCGCAAGGGGGAGCAAAUCCCAUCAAAGCCAGUCCCAGUUCGGAUUGCAGGCUGAAAUUCGCCUGCAUGAAGUCGGAAUCGCUAGUAAUCGUAGGUCAGCACACUACGGUGAAUCCGUUCCCGGGUCUUGUACACACCGCCCGU